GUGCUCGCUUCGGCAGCUCAUGUACUAAAAUUGGAAUGAUACAAAGAUUAGCACGGCCCCUGCGCAAGGAUGAUGUGCAAAUUCCUGAAGGGUUCCAGAAUGAA
rnacentral:snRNA from 1 species